UUCGAGUAUCACAAACCUCAGGGCCACUGGAGGUUUACAUGAUCAUUAACUUCAGGGCCUGUGGGAUUAGUCGAGGUGCGCGCAAGCUAAUCCGAACACCUAUGUUAAUAAUAAAAAAAAAACGACGUGAUUAAAUAUGCUAGUUGAGUUCAAUUGUCUCCGAGAAAGAUGAAAUAUAUUGCCAAUCAUAAUUCUGACUCAUACAUCGCUUUCCAUGUCCAGGAGACAAAUCAAAUAGAAUACCUUAUUCCUGAGGAGUCCUCACUGGAGCAUCAUCUACAGAUUUCUGAUGUUGGAUUCAUUGAUUUCAUGAGAAACUUGCUUGAGCUCAAUCCCCUGAGGC
rnacentral:lncRNA from 1 species